CUCUCCAGACUGAGUGGCUGUAAUCUGUCAGAGAGAAGCUGUGAAGCUCUGUCCUCAGUUCUCAGCUCCCAGUCCUCUAGUCUGAAAGAGCUGGACCUGAGUAACAACAACCUGCAGGAUUCAGGAGGGAAGCUGAUCUCUGUUGGAUUGAAAAGUCCACACUGCACAUUGGAGACUCUCAGUCUGUCAGGCUGUCUGAUCUCAGAGGAAGGCUGUUCUUCUCUGGUCUCAGCUCUGAGCUCCAACCCCUCCCAUCUGAGAGAGCUGGACCUGAGCUACAAUCAUCCUGGAGACUCAGGAGUGAAGCUACUGACAGCGGGACUAAAGGAUCCUCUCUGGAGACUGGACACUCUCAGGGUGGAGCCUGCUGGAGUCAGAUGGUUGACACCAGGUCUG